ACAAUGAAGAGUUUGAUCCUGGCUCAGGAUGAACGCUAGCUACAGGCUUAACACAUGCAAGUCGAGGGGCAGCAUUUUAGUUUGCUUGCAAACUAAAGAUGGCGACCGGCGCACGGGUGAGUAACACGUAUCCAACCUGCCGAUAACUCGGGGAUAGCCUUUCGAAAGAAAGAUUAAUAUCCGAUAGUAUAUUAAAACCGCAUGGUUUUACUAUUAAAGAAUUUCGGUUAUCGAUGGGGAUGCGUUCCAUUAGUUUGUUGGCGGGGUAACGGCCCACCAAGACUACGAUGGAUAGGGGUUCUGAGAGGAAGGUCCCCCACAUUGGAACUGAGACACGGUCCAAACUCCUACGGGAGGCAGCAGUGAGGAAUAUUGGUCAAUGGACGAGAGUCUGAACCAGCCAAGUAGCGUGAAGGAUGACUGCCCUAUGGGUUGUAAACUUCUUUUAUAUGGGAAUAAAGUAUUCCACGUGUGGAAUUUUGUAUGUACCAUAUGAAUAAGGAUCGGCUAACUCCGUGCCAGCAGCCGCGGUAAUACGGAGGAUCCGAGCGUUAUCCGGAUUUAUUGGGUUUAAAGGGAGCGUAGGUGGAUUGUUAAGUCAGUUGUGAAAGUUUGCGGCUCAACCGUAAAAUUGCAGUUGAAACUGGCAGUCUUGAGUACAGUAGAGGUGGGCGGAAUUCGUGGUGUAGCGGUGAAAUGCUUAGAUAUCACGAAGAACUCCGAUUGCGAAGGCAGCUCACUAGACUGCAACUGACACUGAUGCUCGAAAGUGUGGGUAUCAAACAGGAUUAGAUACCCUGGUAGUCCACACAGUAAACGAUGAAUACUCGCUGUUUGCGAUAUACAGUAAGCGGCCAAGCGAAAGCAUUAAGUAUUCCACCUGGGGAGUACGCCGGCAACGGUGAAACUCAAAGGAAUUGACGGGGGCCCGCACAAGCGGAGGAACAUGUGGUUUAAUUCGAUGAUACGCGAGGAACCUUACCCGGGCUUAAAUUGCAUUUGAAUAAUCUGGAAACAGGUUAGCCGCAAGGCAAAUGUGAAGGUGCUGCAUGGUUGUCGUCAGCUCGUGCCGUGAGGUGUCGGCUUAAGUGCCAUAACGAGCGCAACCCUUAUCUUUAGUUACUAACAGGUCAUGCUGAGGACUCUAGAGAGACUGCCGUCGUAAGAUGUGAGGAAGGUGGGGAUGACGUCAAAUCAGCACGGCCCUUACGUCCGGGGCUACACACGUGUUACAAUGGGGGGUACAGAAGGCAGCUACCUGGCGACAGGAUGCUAAUCCCAAAAACCUCUCUCAGUUCGGAUCGAAGUCUGCAACCCGACUUCGUGAAGCUGGAUUCGCUAGUAAUCGCGCAUCAGCCAUGGCGCGGUGAAUACGUUCCCGGGCCUUGUACACACCGCCCGUCAAGCCAUGAAAGCCGGGGUACCUGAAGUACGUAACCGCAAGGAGCGUCCUAGGGUAAAACUGGUAAUUGGGGCUAAGUCGUAACAAGGUAGCCGUACCGGAAGGUGCGGCUGGAACACCUCCUUU
rnacentral:rRNA from 1 species